rnacentral:lncRNA from 1 species
UUUUAUCUACCAGAAUUAUGUCGUUGUUUUGUUCACGCAUCGUUGUCAAUAUGUAGUAAAUUUAAUGCAACUGUUAUAAAAAUGCAAUGUAAAGCAACCUUAAAACCAGGUUCAAUCAGCCAUUUUCUACAUUAGAAAAUGCCUGUACCAAGUGAGGAAUAUGACAGUUGUUAUCCAUUCGUUUGAUGUGAUUAGGAGCUUUUAAUUUAGCCAUUUGAUUUGGGACUUUCUGUUUUGAAUUUUCC